CUCAGCCCGCGGCGACGGCGCACAGCGGCUUGGAGAAUCCCACCGGCGUCGCGCCGCCGCUCCGCGCCCCCUCGCUCGCUCGCCCCGCGGCCGCAUGAAAGCCGUCCUGUGAUUGGACGGAGUGAGGAGGUGAAAGGUUAAUCCCGGUACCCCAGCCACUCAGGAGCUAGGAAACAGCGGGCUCGGGCCGAGACCGCGUCUGCGGCCCAUUGCGAAGACCAAGCUGUGUUAACGCAGUCGGGCGGGCAGCGGGACUUCUGGCCCCGCCGCCUCCGCCACCGCGGGCUACGCAGUCCGGGCUUAGUCUAGAGGAGCCUCCCAGCUCUUCGUCAUCCCCAUCUGUACGGCCCUUUGGGUCCCCAGACCUGGGCCCUGUGGCCAGCCCUGGAGGCCAACUUGGACAACCAGAAAAUGCCCUCGGUGUGGCGAGGCUUGCUUUUAUAGAUCGGAGCCUUCUGCCGCGCCUCCUUGCUCAGAGUUCAAAGGAGUCAAGAGGCCGACUUAAAGAAAACCAUCUUAGGGCAGGACACUCUCCCACCUCCCAUGUUAGCAUCUCUUCCAGAAGAUUCCCCCCCUAGAGACUGCUGUACUCCAGGUGAGGGAGAGAUGGUACCAGCACCUGGCUUCUCUCUGCCCCUGGAAACGUUUAGUGGCAGCUGUCCAUCUGCACUGCAUUCAGCGGGGUGGCCACCAGUCCCACGUGGUUACUGUUGCCUCUCCGAAUUAAGGUGGAGUCUCUCAGGACCAGCUCAAAGCCAGCAGGAUGGCUCAGCUGGUAAAGUUGCUUGCACUGCAGGCCUGACAACCUGAGUUCAAAUCCUGGGACCUACCUGAAGGUGAAAAGAGAGAACUGAUUCCUCAAAGUUACCCUCUUGCCUCCACACACAUUGUUGUAUCCUCCUCCCAACACACAUCACAAAAAUAAAUUUUAAGCCAACUGGGCUUAUCCACUA